rnacentral:lncRNA from 1 species
UGCAUCUGUCCAAACUCUCCUACACUGUGCUUGACUCUGAGAACCAUAGACCAUUUUAAAUGAUCUCAAUGUCAAACCAUUCAACAAAACUCCCAGUCAGCUCUUUCAUCAUUUCCAUUGUGCAAAAUGGAAUCCAUGCUGAAACUCACUCCUCUUCAGCACCUUUUGCUCCAGAAAAGCCCCCCCCUUCUCUGGGAGGGUAGACAUUUGGACCUACCUUCUUCUUUUCUCCUUAUCCCUCCCUCCCCAACUUUUCAGCUUUUUUGUGUGCUUUUUCCUAUUAGACAAUUAUUUCCUUGAGCACAUAGACUGCCUUAUGAACCUUUGUAUCUUUCUUUGUAUCCUCAACACUUAGCAAGAUGCCUAGGCUUAGUAAAUGCUUAUUGAUUUUCUGAUUCUGAUUCCACCUUAAAUUUGCAUGGCACUGAUAAAUCUAGCUAAAACUUUUUGUUUUCCUCUGCCUUAAGAAUUUGAUAGGAGCCUUGCAUGAAUCCACCUCUGAGAUCCACUGGUUGUCUAAUAAGAGAGUUCUGAUAACUUCCAGAUCUUGCCAUGAUUUUUUGGUCCCAUUUUAUUUCUCCUGCUCAAAAGCCAGAAAUCUCCAUGCAAUUGUAUCUUUUUCUUCUUUCUCCCCCUCCUUCUCUCUAUUCCUUCCUCUCUCCCUCCAUUCUUGCUUCCUUCCUUCCUCCCUAGGUGAAAAUAACCAAUGAUCUGGUGGGUAGAAUUGUGAAGUGAUUCAACCCUUUCGGAGACCAAUUUGAAACUGUGCCCAAAGGCUUAUAAAAAUGUGCCUUUGAAAAACUUUGGAUACACCAGUGCUGCUUCUCCCCCAAAAUGAUAAAACUUGAAUAAAGUUAUAUAUGAACAAAAUAUUCCUAUCAGCUCUUUUUGUGGUGGCAAAGAAAAUGUAAAAUGAGUACAUGCCUAACAAUUGGGAAAUAGCUGAAUAAAUUAUGAUAUAUUAAAGUAAUGUGAGGGAUGAAGAAGUCCCUUAGCCAAAAUGACUACUCAGAGAUCAGUCAGUAGAAAGCAGAAAAGUUAUUGAUUAAUAAGUUCUCAUGAGAAUGAGCAAUUCCACUGCGAGGAGGGAAAGAGAAAGCUCCCAGUAGAAGGGCUAAAGAAUUAGGAAAGAUAUAUGGAUUUUAUAGGUUUGGUUGCAAAGGAAUACAUCAUAGGUUGGGGAGCAUUGAGAAAUAGAUGCCUUCUCCCCUAAUUGAAUGUGAACCAUUGGUGCCAAAGGCAGAUGAGAACAGAAUGCUUUGUUUCCCUGAUUCUGAGAGGAAUCAUCAGUCAGGCCUUCAAACUUCAGAUUACUGAGCUGAUGGCUUUGAAUAAUCUAAAUAUUGAUAACAUUGAACAAGGAUAAAUGUCAUCAUUUCUGCUUAAGUAAAGAUAUCUAAAGUUUUAAGUAAAUAUUGACUUGCACACACCUGACUUAGGCAGGUCACAGAGACAUAGACAUAAUAAAAAAUACAGAAAAAGUAUUUAAACAUUCCUGUAACUUCUUCACUUUAUCUCUCCAUUCCACACAGUAAUGAUGAGCAGGCUUAUGUGAUGCUAGAAAAGCCUGGAAAGAUUUACAUGAAUUGAUGCUGAGUGAAGCAAGUAGAAUACAUUUUACAAAGCAACAACAAGAUUGCAUGAGAAUCAACUAUGGUAGACUUGGCUCUUCUCAGAAAAUCUGUGAUCCAAAGCCAUUCCAAUCAAUUUUGGAUGGAAAAUGGCCCACAUCCAGAGGGAGAACCAUGGGGAUGAUUGCAGAUAGCAGCAUACCAUUUUCACCUUCUCCUUUUUUUUCCUCUUGAUUUUCCCUUUUUUCUGAAUUUUCUCUCCUCAAUUCUCAUGUGGAGACUCAUAUGGAAAUAUGGAAAAAAUGCAUAUAUAUGUAAAACCUACAAACUAUAUUGCUAGAGUACCUAGCAAGAAGAAGGCUAGGGAACAGAAUACCAAGAGUCUGCAUUAAUCUGGAGACCCUUCAUCAUGUAGCUUGCACACAAUACCCCAUUUGCAUAAGCAACAAGUCUGUGCAAAGACAAGUCUUGUGUAAACUUGACCCUUGUGGUCUUUGGCUGUUUAGAUCUCCUCAGCUCAGUCUUGGGAAUGGAUGUUGAGGCCCCGGGUGUGAGUUCUGCCUCACUGGCUGCAGGCCCGGGGUAGACACUCGGUAGCCAGGCCUGGCCAGGCAUUGAGCAUGCACCAAAUGGAGAUCGCUUCCACCAUCUCAGGAGUUGGGCUCCUUCAUGAACAAGCUAAAGACCUACUUGUUGCUGGGGCACGUUGGCGGGGGAGAUGAGAGGGGCAUAGGAACAGGGCAGCAGAGGGAGAGGGGAGAAGCAGGGAAGCCCGGGAGCAGGGAUGUAGGGAAGCACGAGAGAGAGGAAGCAGGAGGACAGACAAGAUGAUGGAGCCAAGCAAUAAAGCUUUUUUAACUUCAUAAAGGAUGUCAGAAUGACUCCGUCAUAACCAGGGACGGAGACGUCCCUCUCCGGAGGUCGUAGAGAAGAUGAUAAUUGGCUAAGUGCUCGGGCACCAGUUGGGGUCAGCAGGUCUGCACUAGCUGGGGACCCCAGCAACAUAUGUGCUAAUGCUUUUGUCAUGGAGGCUCUCACCAUUUGCCUCUAUUCUUCUAGAGAACUCUGCACUUGCUGCACAGAUAAUAAAAGUGUGGAGUUAUUUAAAAUGUCUUGAACAGCCUAGAACUGAUUCCAUUUAGUGGCAAUACUCCACUCAUAGACUAGGGGGGUUGACGUGCCAGAGGCACAGUAUGUGCAGUAUUUUCCACUUCCUAGGGAAAUUUCUCAUGUAGCCUAGAUUUGAAAAAAUACUUUUUGCCUACAGUCUUCCAAGUUGAAGCCCUUUCAAUAGUACUGUUUUCUCAUAUUUGUCUUAUAGAAUAAUGAUAACACAAUGGUCACUUCAAAUUACAGAACAUUCCACAUCUUUAACUUUGAUUAUAACAAUGUAUUGCCCUCAAACCUGUUUUGUUUUGUUUAUCCUUUGCUCUAUUUAAAAAUAAAUCUCAUUCUCCUUUCAAAGAUGUUUUACUUCUGGCCAUUGCCUUCCUUAACCCAUGCUCUUCUUUCAUCAUCUUUGGUCCUUUUUCUCAUUUUUGCUUUUCCCUUCCAAUUCUUUCUUGGGAAAGAUAGAUUUCUAUCCCCAAUGAGUCUGUCCAUAUAGUCUUCCCUCUUUGAAUCAAUAUAAAUGAAAAUGAGCUUCAAAUGUUGCCUGACAUCCCCUUUCCCCUUCUCCUCUACUAUAAAAGCUCUCCAUUGACUAAGAUGACAGGAACAGAUAAUGAUAAAUGUUAGAGGGUUUUGGAAAAACUGGGACUCUAAUACAUGCUUGGGGGAGUAGUGAACGGGCCCAGUCAUUCUGGAGACCAAUUUGGAACUAAACCCAAAGGGCUAUUAAAGUGUGCAAACCUUUUGAUCCAGCAUGAGUGUUUAUUCCAAAGAUAUCCUAAAAAGGGAAAAGGAAACACAUGUGCACAAAUGUUGAUAGUAGCCCCUGUUGUAGUGUCAAGGAAGUAGAAAUUGAGUGGAAGCCCAUCAGUUGGAGAAUGACUGCAUAAGUUUUGGUAUAGGAAAGUAAUGGAAUAUUAUAUUAUGGUCCUAUACAAAAGGAUCAGCAGGAUGAUUUCAGAUUGGCCUAGAGACUUGCAUGAACUGAUGCUAAGUGAAGUGAUUAGAAUAGAGAACUAUUCAUAGCCACAACAAGAAGAUGUGAUUAUCAGAGGUGAUGGCCUUAAUUCUUUUCAACAUUGAAGUGAUUCAGGCUAACUCCAAUAAACUUGUGAUAGAGAAAGCCAUCUACAUCCAGAAAGAGGACUGUGGGGACUGAAUAUGGAUCACAGCAGAGAACCAUUAUUUGCUUUUUUUUUUUAACUUAAACAAUUUUUUCCCUUUUCUGAUGUGAUUUUUCUCAUGCAGCAUGAUAAAUAUGGAAUUAUGUUUAGAAGAGUUGCACAUGUUAAAACUAUAGUGCAUUACUUGCUGUUUGGGGGAAAGGGGAGGGGGAAGAGAGGGAGAAAAAUUUGGAACACAAGGUUUUGCAAGCGUGAAUGUUAUAUCUUGGAAAUCAAAAACCUAUUAAAAAUUUUAAAGGUCUUUUUUGAGCUCUUUUUUAAAAUGAGGACAUUUUCCUCAUUUUUCCUUUCCUGUUUUCUUUCUCCCAGUGCAUCCCUCUUUCUCUGCCCUCUUUCUAGGGCAGUACAUCUGCGAGUACAUCCAAGGACAUCUCUCCUUUUUACCCUUUCAUUUUUUUUUGAGGUCAGCCUAAUAACCAACACACCUUUGUUCCCUAACUAUGUAGAUUCGUUCUAAAUACCCUAAGAAUAAAGUUCCUAGGAGUUCCAUAUAAAAUGUAAAUACUUUAAUUUUAUUGGAUCCCUUAAGAUUAUUCUUUCAUGUUUACCUUUGUUGCUCUUGAGUUUUGUGUUUAAAUGUCAAAUUUUCUAUUCAGAUCUGUUUUUAUGAUCAGGAAUAUCUGAUGAGAACUUGCUAUUUUAUUCAGCAUUGAUUUUUUUUCUCCUGAAGAAUUAUGCUUAGUUAUGGUGAGUAAGUUCUUCUUGCUAGUAAUCCUAGCUCCUUUGUCUUCUGAAAUAUUCUAAAGUCUCUGCUUCUUUAACAUGGAAGCUGCUAAAUCUUGUGCGAUUCUGACUGUAGCAACAUGAUAUUUUAAGGGUUUCUUUCUAGAUGCUUGCAAUAAAUUCUCUUUCUUGCAAUAAGAGCUCCUGGGAGCUCUAGAAUAUGGCUCAAUAGUCCUGGGAGUUUUCAUUUGGCGAUCUUUUCUCAGGAGGUGUUUAGUGGAUUCUUUUCCUUCCUAUUUUACUCUCUGGAACUAAGCUAUCAGAGCAGUUUUUCUUUAUCAUUUCUCAACAAAUGAUGUCGAGGCUAUUUUUUCAAUUAUGGUUUUUAGGUAAUCUUAAAUUAUUUCUCCUUGACCUAUUUUCCAAAUCACAUGGUUUGUGUAAUGAGAUUUUUCACAUGGUUAUGACUUUCUUUUCUUGUUUCUUAAUAUCACAUGGAGUCAUUCGCUUCCAUUUGCCUAAUUCUAAUUUUUAAGGAAUUAAUUUCUUCAUGGAACUUGGGUACCUCUUUUCCCAUUGGGCCAAUUCUGCUUUUGAAAAAGUUCUUUUUAUCAGUGAAUUUUUGUGCCUCUUUUACCAUUAGGUCAAUUUUGCUUUUUUAAGGUGUUAUUUUCUUUUAAGAAAUGGUGAGUUCUUUUUUCAUAAUUUAUUGCAUUUCGAUUUCAUUUCACAAAUUUCCAUCUAACACUAGUAUCACUUUCAGUGACUCUUCUGGGAAUACUGGUUGGGCUUGUGCUCAACUAGCAUUUUCCUUUCAGGCCUUGGCUUGCAGUUAUUUUCACAUUGUUGUUAUCUUCUGAGAUCAUGCCUCAGGUCUUCCCUGCUACCAUAGUAGCUUUUCAUGGUCUUUUUUGUUUGUUUGUUUACUCAUUUUUUCCAGCCUAUUUGUUGACUUUGAACUUUAUGUUAAAGUUGAUCACUAGUCACCUGGAGAUGGGAAGACCUUGUCCUCAAUAUAAGAUUUUUGUCAAAUGCUCUUUUCAUAGUUCUGGGAGUUUGCAAGUUUUCAGGACUUCCACAGGGGUGUGAUCUGGGGAUAGGAUGCUCUCUUGCUCUGCCUUUGCUCUCUUGGUCUGUGCUCUGUCGCUACCCAGGAAGGAAUCAAGGUCCCCUUCUCCCCCGUAACAUCAGGCAACUGGUCCUUUGUGACUGACCGCAAGCGCUCUUCUCCACUCUAGAACUGGGUCCCAGAAGUGCAUCUGGGAAGUAGUGUCGCCAAUUACUGCCAGCUGUAGCCAGGGCCAGCCAAGAGUGCCCUGUAAUCACCUUCUGAUUAGUCUGUCUGUCUCUCCCCUUACUGUCUCUGACCUGAGAGCUCCUAAAACUACUGCAGUGGCUGUUGUAGCCACUCCUAAGACUCCACACUGGUUGCUGCCCAGAGCAUGGGUUCUUGGCUGGCCCCCACCUCUGUGUCACAUAUUCUCCUGCUGACUUUCUAAGUUGUCUUCUACUGGAAAAAUGUCUCCUCCCAACCUUUUAUGGACUCUGCUGUUCCAAAAUUUGAUGGAAUGAUUUCCAUGUUGUUUAGAAGGGAAAUUUGAGAGCGUUCUGCUGAAUUGCUUCCUGGAAUCUGCCAUCUUCGCCCUGCCUCUAAGAAUUGUCUUGAUUCCUAUUUGGGGGAUUUGGGUUAACAUUCCCUAGCCUCGUCUGUCUCCUUUUUCUGGCCAUUUCUUUUGUCUGUCCUGUAUUGGUCUUGAAGGGUUCAGUCUUAUAUCAGCAGUGUUACAUUCUCUUCAUUAGGCAUCUAACCUGUGUAUAAUCUCCUUCUCCAUGUUUUUUUAAUUGAAGGCCAGUUUUCCUUUCCUGAUACUCAUCUGGUAAUAUUAAUUCAUGAAUAACGCUUUUACUGCCUUGCUUUGCCUCUCUUUUCCUAUAGAGCUUCAGAGUCUGUUAUUGAGCUACUUAGGGGUGGGAAGUUCAUGUUAUUCGUUUUGUAAUUCGUUGUGUGAAUUUAUUAUCAGUUCUUCAAAGUAUGAUUGAUUUUGCAUACAUUCUCCACUGUCCAAUUGAGUUAUUAUUUUGCGAUAUAUUAAAUCAUUGUACUUUCUAUCUUUCAGAUCUUAUUGUGGGACUCUAACCAUCUCUUCUAUGUAAUUCACAUAAAAUCACAACAUUAGACUUCUCCUUUCAUAUGGAAAUGUAGGAUUCAGUGAAUGCAGCAUAUACUUGGCCCGCUAUUUUAUUGGCACCAAAAUAUUGCUUGUGAAUUAUGUUGCUACUGACACAUAGGUAUAUUGUAUGAGGCUAGGUUUUUCAACACUGCUCCCCAGGAAGACCUGAUCCUUCAAGAGAAAAGUUGUCCCUUCCCUCUGAUGUAUCUAACCUCAGUUUUGCCCCACAUGAUUUUUCUUGGUUUGGUUCAGGGACACUAGCUUCAGGCUAGGAGAAUCGUUUCUUUCUGUUAGAGCAAACCUAGCUUCUGUGAGCUAUAUGUUUCUCCUAUACAUGACCCGGAGUUGGCUCUUCUCUUAAGUGUUUUCCUUUUUUUAAUCUAAAUUAUUUCCUUCAACCUGCUUGUUUCAUCCAUGGUGAAGCACCCUCUCUGGGUUCAUGCUCUCAAACCCCAGAGAAUGUGGAUGAGAUUAUCAGAAGAUGGUUGACUACUUCUCCCUUGAACCUUCUAGUAUUAAUGUUAAGGUCUUGGGAGGAGUUUGAUAAUACUAACUUCAUGAGCUUCCCCUUAAUUACAAGCCAAUCAGAUUCACUUCGCCUUUAGAAAAUAUGUAUUUCUGGGGUAGCUGGAUGAUUCAGUGGAUAGAGAGUCAGGAAGACCUAGCUCAGUGUAGCUUCAGACUUAUUAGCUGUGUGACUCUGGGCAAAACACAACUCUGACUGCCUCCAAAAAUAUAGGUAUUUACUAAAGUGAUAUCAUAAGCAGUAAAUUUAGCACUCCUGAUGAUUGGAAAUCUUUUUCUCUCUUUGGGGAGUCCUCACAAUGUCUCCCAUAAGGUAGAAUGUUCUGCAGGACUUUCCUCGGUGUAUCCACUUUCACUUCAAAGUGCUUCUCAGUUCUCGAUAUGGAUGUGGCUAAUAGUCACUUUUAUAGUUCCUGAUCUGGUGGAUGCCACUGCUGCAGAUCUUUAAAGUUCACAAGGCUAUUAUCUAGUCAAGGGGAGGGGAAGAGCAUGACUCUCUCUCUUCUCUCCUUCUGCCCUCUGCUACCCGUGCAAGAAACCAUUGCUCUUCUCUUCUCUUGAACAAGUCCUGCUUUUUGGAAGGAGGUAUGCAGAGUAGUUCUCAAGUUGUACCUCUUACUUUGAGCCUUUCUACAUUUGGAAAUUAUCCAAUAGAUGUACUUCAUGCACUGUUGGCUAAAUGAUUUGCUAUAAAUCACCUUGCAAUUAUCGAGUUCUUUAACCUUUUAGUGUGUGUUUUUUUGGGGGGUAAUGACCACUUCUAAAAUCAGGAUGAUUCUUAGUUUCCAGGUUUAAAAAAUGGUCACAAGCCUUUUCAUACAUCUUAUACUUAUACCUAAUCAGUGGCUUGAUUAAAUGUAGGAAAUAUUCAAAAAAAACCCAAAUAGAAAUAAGCUACUUAUGUAGUAUUGUAAUAAUUCAAUAAAAUAAAGUUCUAAGCAAGUGACACGUGACACUUAACAAUAAAACUAACAUAUAUAAAUUGGUAGAGUGAAAGCAUACUGUAAUAUCUACUCCCCACCUCUGUUUGCUCUUUAGGAUACAUACCAUGAUAUACUAUUGGGAUUUUUCAUUUAUCAAAUGUAUUUACGUUGAUUAAUAGUAUAUUUAUAUACAUUUGUAUUAUUUAUGUUUUAUUAUGUAUUUUUAUUUCAGUUUAUUCAUAAAAAAAUGAUACUUUACACCAGUUCCAAUAGAUUUAGGAUGGAAAAUGCCAUCCACCUCAAGUAUCAGAAUUAUUGAGACUGACUGUGGACCAAAAGCUUAGUAUUUUCAUUUUUUCCAUUUAUUUGUUUCUUUCUGGUAGUUAUUUUCCCUGUUGCUUUGAUUUUUCUUUCAUAACAUGAGAAAUGUGGAAAUAUGUUUAAAAGCAUUGUUUAUAUUGAAUCAUACCUAUUGCUUGUUAUCUUAGGGAUGAGGAAAGGAGGGAAGAUGAAAAAUUUAGAACCCAAAUUCUUGCAGAAAUGAAUGCCAAGUAGUAUUUGUACAUGUUUUUAGAAAAAUAAAAUACCAUUCAAAAUAAAAAGACAAAAAAAGAAACUUACAAAUACUACUUUACUGUGAAAUACUUAGUGUAACCAAAUGAAAGUCAGAGAUUUCUGUUGAGUCCAUCUUGAGAGAUUCUAUUUUGAAAACUUUGCUUUUAACUUUCAAUAUGAGGCAGGUAGUCUACAUAAGAUAGUGAUGGCACAUACUCACUAAUUUGCUUUUUUCAUUUAAAAUGUGGAUCAAUCAAUAAAUGAGGUAGGACUAAACCAUCUCCUCAUUUGUAAAGUGAAGCAAACAAAAUGGUCUUUUAUGUGGAAAUUGUUCACCCUCUCCAUAAAAGAGGCAGCACAGAUUCAAUUCAAUGUAUAUUACUCCCUUGAAGUAUUAAUAAAUUCCUUUUGUCUUAUUUUCUAAGUUUGCCGUAUUUGAUUAGGACUUUAAGGCCUAAUCCAGAUUUCUAUUAUGAUUUCGGUAUGCUACGCAGGAUAUUGGGGGAGGAACUCAGGUCCUCCUGAUUUCAGGUGUGGUAUUCUCUCCACUUCACCACCCAAUGUCUCAUGAGAAGUGUUUUCCUGGCAACAGGGGUCAGCUGUUCAUGUAACAUCAAAAGUAAGCCACUAGGAGCAGAUCAUGCCCAUAAAGGUAAUGGUUCCUAAGAACUCAGAUUGUUUGUUCCCACAACAUACUUCAGGGAUCACAGGGAGUCAUCACCAAGAUUGAAAGGAAUGAACGCCACAACCAACACCAUAAUACCUUAGUCUGCCUUUUCUUUACCUUCCUCUUGUCCCCUCUUUUUCCUUCAUGUUGCCUUCUUAAGUGAAAUGAAUUUCUGUACCCAGUUGAAUGUGUAUGAAUCUUCCUUCGUUUGAUCAUUUCAGAAGAGAAUGAGGUUGAAUGGUCAGUUGUUCCCCUUUCUUCUUGCUUGCAUAGAUUUUCACCUUUGACAAUAUAAACAAUAACCACCAGUAGAGUUAUGAUCCACAUUGGAAAUCUUUUUGAAGAGUGAUGGAAAAUCAGUAGAUGUCCAUCAGGUGGAGAAUGGCUGAACAAGAUGUGGCUGGAUAUGAAGGUGAGGAAAUAUUAGCAUUAUAUAAGAAAGGAUGAAGAAGCUCAUUUGAGAAAGGCCUGGACAGAUUUACAAGAACUGAUGCCGACUCGAACAAGCAGAAGGAAGAAUACUUUGGACAAAAUAAUCGCAAGAAUUUGUCUUGAUGAGCUAGGAAAAAAUUGUUUCUCCUCAGUGCUUUAGUGAUCCAAGCAAUUCCAAUAGACUUUGGGAAGCAAAUGUCAUCUGCAUUCAGAAAAAGAACUACAGAGAAAGAAUGUAAAACAGUAUAUGCUGUUUCUUUUUUCUUUUUCUCUCUCCCAUGGUUAUUCCCUUUUGCUCUGGUUUUUCUUUCCCAACAGGAUUCAUAGAGCAAUCCUUAUUUAAAAUAAAUUUACUAAACACUACAAAAAAUAAAAUUAAAACAAAAUUUUAUUCAAUUUUUCACAGUCAAUACCUAUACUGUUUAGGAUAUGCAAUGAGCCAGAGACCUGGGGACCAAGGCUGGCUGGUACUUCAUGCCCAAUUGGCAAUUCUUGAUUCUGAAUUUACACAUCUUCGUGAACAGGAUGGUCGGGUUUCACAAUUUUCCUUCAUAAGGGUAGCUGAGUUUCUUCCUGGGGCCUUUGGCUGGAGUUCCAAAUGCUUGUGGCAGGCAGUUGCUGCAGCCUGAGGGCAGAGUGGGCUGAGAGGGGUGAGGUGGUCAUUGGUCAGCCCAUAGACUGACUUCUUCCAGAGGUAGGGACUUGGCCAGCCCUGCCCAGCUGCUGGCACCACGGUGAAGGCUGGAGGUUUAUGUCAGGCAUCUGUUCCCUCCGGUUUUCAAGAGAAGUGAGGUGAGAUAAGACUGGGGACAAGCAGCACCAUGGCCCCUUUGCAGAGGUUUCUGCCAGGCGGUGGGACCACAGCUGGGGAGGGCUGAGUUUCAGACUGGACAGUGAGUGGGGUCGGUGUGUUUGGGGAGAGGGGGGCUUUUUCCAAAGCUGGCAGAAUGCCUUCUGUUCGACUGGGGAAGAGGAUCUUUUGGCGUGUUGGCAAGGGCUUCUGCCAGGUGUUGGGACCAAAUCUCUGGAGGGCACACAUUCAUCCUAGGAGGGGUUGAGGUGAGUCUGCCUGUUUGGUUUUCUUUCUUUUUUUUUACCCAAUGUAUGAUAAAGAAGCAAGGUCAAUUGAGGAAGAGGAGUACCUUGGCCCAUUGGUGGAAGCUUCUGUUGACAGUGGAGCCAAUUCUGUGGAGGACAGAUAUUUAGCCUGGUGGUUGAGUUAGUUUACUUUUCUUUUCCACACCAGGGCGCCAUGUGGUGAGGUCGACUCUGGCUGAGGAUUCCCUAGGACCUGUUGGCAGAGCCUUCUGCCAAGCAGCGGUUCCUAGGUCUGUGGACGAAAAAAGCAGCAUAUGAGUAAAGGGGAAGGAAGUAGGAAACAGGGAAGAAUGUGGGUGGCACAGAUAGGAAGAAUACUUUGUACAAACUAACAGCAAGGAUUUGUGAUGAUCAGAUAGGAAAGGAUAGUUUCUUCCUAUUGCUUUUGUGAUCCAAAGCAAUCCUAAUAGACUGUGGACAAAAAAAUGCCAUCUGUAUUCAGAAAAAGAACUCAGGAGAUAUAAUGUAAACCUCCAUGUACACUGUUCACUUGGUUUUUUCUUUUGUCUUCCAUGGUUGUUUCCCCUUGCUUUGAUUUUCUCUCCAAACAAGAUUUAUAAAAAGCAAAAUGUAUUAAAAACAAAUAAAUUUACUAACCCCCCACCAAAUUAAAAUUCUUUGUCAUUGGACUUCCGGUCAAGAUGGUGGAGAAGAGGACACACACAUCUCCUUAAGCUCCGUCUUUUCUCCCAGAAUAAUUUAUCUCAUGACAACCCUUGGAAUUAGUGCUUGAAUGAAAAAAGACACAAAUAAUUACCAAGAGAAGAUAUCCUCAAAAUGCAGCAGAAAAGGUCUGUUUUGCUCGGGGAUGAGGACAGCUAGUUCAGGCACAAACAGAAGGCAGGCAGUGGCAACACAGCAGACAGAGUAAGGCAGGCAGCUCACAGGUGAGCAGACGAGAGGUGCAUGGGGUGUGAUCUCAGACGUUUCUGCAGGGAGACAUUUAUGACAGUAUUGGCUACUUUGCCCUGGCAGCAAGCCAGGAGACAAAGAGAGAAGCUAAAAACACAGGAGGUAAAGACUAUAAGCCAGAAAAGCCAGCAUCUCUUGGGACCUGGCCACACCUAGCACUGUAUGUCUCAGUACACUCUCAGAGUCUCAGAGCACAGAUGCAAGGCAGCCAUUGCUGUCCUGCUAGUGCCUUGCUGCUGCCCCGUGCAGUCUGUAGAGGAAGCUUGGUAAUACCAUGCAGCCUCCCCCCC